ACCGAAACACAAAGUUGCAAAUAACACAUUUAUGGCUACAAAAGGUUCAAAAUACAUAAAGGGAAAUAUUUUUCCACAGCCAUGGAGCCUGUGGGGUGCAGUCAAUAUGGGGCACUGCUGUCUUUGCAGCACUGCAUGCCUUGCUUGCUCACUGAACGCCAUCCUGCAGGCUGCACACUGGCCAAGGUUUUAAUGAAUUUCAGCUCUGCUCCUCUGCAGGCUUCAUUGGUGGGCUUAGGUAUCCAGGACAUGGAUUUUACAUCGCGUAUGUUGGAUCUAGGAGCUCAUGUGGUAACACUUGGAGAGUGGUGGAUGUGGGAGUGGGGUACUCUGAGGAUGCCCUGUAAAACCAUGAAGAACAUGAACAUGAUGAAGAGGUAAAAGCCAGCUAGUAAUGCAACACUCACAGCAUGUUAGACUAUCUGCUGGGAAAAGAUCACUGCAUUAACCUGCCUGCCAAAGGUCAUCUUUGCAAUCACAAGCCCAUUGUUAGGAGUUAAUCAUGAUAACUACUGGAAAAGGGUAUCAUCAAAGAGCCUUUAAAAAGUGGACAAUUUGAUCCUAAUCAUGAAGUUUUUAUUCCUGUAUUACAUGACUUCCUGGAGCUCUGCACAUUAAGACAGCAUUGUCUGUUUUCUGAGAAAGAAGCAGUAAUCAUCAAGAGUUAAGGUAAAUGGUUUUUUUUGCCUUCACCUUUCAAAUUAAAAUUUCUGAACCAGAAGAGAUAUUUUUCUUUCUCUAACGAAAGUAGAUGUAGUCCAGGGGAUUUAUAUUUAAAUGGAAUGCUGAAUAUUAUAAGGAAUGUAAAUCAAUAACCCCCAGGAAAAUAAUUUCUUAGGAGAAUGAACAAUGAUACAAUCAUUUACAGUGGGAAAUGAAACAAAACUGUAACACACAAUAACACACGUUUUAUCACGAAAGUCAAAUAUUAGGAGGGUAACUCAGCAGUCUUUUGUAAAUGCAUCUUUUAAGCAUUUAAUAAACAAUUUGCCUGAUGGAGUGUAAUAGAAAAUGAAAUAUUGAAUAUUUUAAUAUUCAACAGGAUUUUGUUUAUUCUGGCAAAACAAACUAAACACAUGCACUUCCCAGCUGCAGUAACAAACAAAGGGUGCAUAACAUUAUCUUCAGAAAGCACUUGAGCUGAAAAUGCUUAUAAAACAAAACAGACAUUGAGAAAAUGUAACAAUAAGAUCUUAAAUACUUUCAUGUUUCUUCCUUUCCAAGGUAAGGCAUAAAAGCCAGUACAUCCCAUCUACAAUUUUUAAAUGAGCUUUAAGAAAAUCUUAUCAUGGUUCUGGAAAUAUUUUGCAGGCAAAGCAAGGCUGUUAGGGCACUUCGAGAAAUUAAAUGGGUUCCUGAUCCUGCAAACUAUUGAGCACUUCUGAGUGUAAUCACUUAAUAUUUCCCAGGCUUUGCUCAACAUCAUGCUUAAUUAAACUUUUGCUAAUAAACCUGAAGCACUCAGUUUAGCCCCAUAGCUCCAUUGACAAAACAGUUGUUCAGUCAAGCCUGCAUGUGUCUUUAUUUUUAGUUGAUGCACGCAGUGUUUGCAUUCUACUUUAUAAAUAGAAGAUAUGAAAAAAGUUUAAAUUACUUUAUAAUGUAAAUGGAACUUAUUUUGUUAAAGGAUAUGUUUUGUUUGGGUAGUUUGUUAUAUUUGAAAGAGGGAUAUUUCCCAAAAAGCUGUAUCUUUACUAUAUUCUUAUGUACUGUAUUUUAGGGUUGAAUGUUCAUAAAUUUAAACCAUUAAUGACAACUUUGUUCUUAAUGAAAAGGCAGGGUUAAGAAUAUAAAUUGUAACUGUAGCCAUAGAGGAACAACAUUUUUUUCUCUCUGUGAUGUUAUUAAGACACUUAAUAGGACAUUAUAGGACUCAUCCCUGGCAGUGCUCAAGGCUGGGUUUGAUGGGGCUCUGAGCAACCUGGUCUAGUGGAAGGUGUUCCUGCCCAUGGCAGGGGAAUGGAACUAGAUCAUCUUUAAGGUCCCUUCCCACCCAAACCAUUCCAUCAUUCUAUCACACAACCUUUCCAUACUACAUCCUUUCACUGCACCUGUCUGAUAGAUUCUUUUCUGUGGUCUACAUUCAUUUUUCUUAUAUUUUAAAAUCAUCAAAAAGAAUUUUAAAACAUAUUAACUUAUCUUCAUUUUUCUCCUUUUUUUAUAAUUAUUUGAACAUACUAUGUAUUUUCCAGGUAUGAUCUACUAAUAGGCAUCAUAUUGCAGGUUUUGCUAGGGUUUUCAUGAAAUUUUCAUGAGAUUUUCCCAGAGGACGUUUGCCUUGAGAAGGGCAGGUAAGAACAAGUCUUCCCUGAGUCAGGCUUGAGUACAAACUGAAAAGUAUUUCUGUUCAUCACAAUUCCCACUGCAAACAUAAGGGGGGAAAAUGCAGAACUUCUUUAUCAGGUAGAUGGAGAAAUUAAUU